GACGAACGCUGGCGGCGUGCCUAAUACAUGCAAGUAGAACGCACAGUUUAUACCGUAGCUUGCUACACCAUAGACUGUGAGUUGCGAACGGGUGAGUAACGCGUAGGUAACCUGCCUGGUAGCGGGGGAUAACUAUUGGAAACGAUAGCUAAUACCGCAUAAUAUUGAUUAUUGCAUGAUAAUUGAUUGAAAGAUGCUAUUGCAUCACUACCAGAUGGACCUGCGUUGUAUUAGCUAGUAGGUGAGGUAACGGCCCACCUAGGCGACGAUACAUAGCCGACCUGAGAGGGUGAUCGGCCACACUGGGACUGAGACACGGCCCAGACUCCUACGGGAGGCAGCAGUAGGGAAUCUUCGGCAAUAGACGAAAGUCUGACCGAGCAACGCCGCGUGAGUGAAGAAGGUUUUCGGAUCGUAAAGCUCUGUUGUAAGAGAAGAACGGGUGUGAGAGUGGAAAGUUCACACUGUGACGGUAUCUUACCAGAAAGGGACGGCUAACUACGUG
rnacentral:rRNA from 1 species